CAACAGCUAGAGUUUGAUCCUGGCUCAGGAUGAACGUUGGCGGCGUGCCUAAUACAUGCAAGUCGAACGAAGACUGUAGUAAUACUGUCUUAGUGGCGAACGGGUGAGUAACGCGUGGGUGACCUGCCCCGAAGUGUGGGAUAACAGUCCGAAAGGAUUGCUAAUACUGCAUAAUAUCCAAGAGAUUAGACGCUUUUGGAUUAAAGGAGUAAUUCGCUUCGGGAGGGGCCCGCGUCCCAUCAGCUAGUUGGUAAGGUAAUGGCUUACCAAGGCGAUGACGGGUAGGGGACCUGAGAGGGUGGCCCCCCACAAUGGAACUGAAACACGGUCCAUACACCUACGGGUGGCAGCAGUAGGGAAUAUUAGUAAUGGGCGAAAGCCUGAACUAGCAACGCCGCGUGUGCGAAGAAGGCCUUCGGGUCGUAAAGCACUUUUUGAGAGGAUGAGGAAGGACGGUACUCUCAGAAUAAGUCUCGGCUAAACUACGUGCC
rnacentral:rRNA from 1 species